rnacentral:rRNA from 1 species
AUGCAGUCUGGAGCGACGCGCGCCGCUCGCAUCCUUGGACCGACGGCCCUUGGCAUACGCGGAGAUCAUCGAGAUCCACGAGAAGGCGUCCCUGUCGCUUGUCGCGUCGAAUAUCUCCCUCGCCAUGCUGACGUUCCCUCUCACGGCGUACCCGUGGAUCAUCGUGUUCCAGGACACCAGGUCCCUGUCCCGCAUUCCGUCCAACACCCUCCUCGCCUCCGGCACCUCGCCGCGCGCGACGUAGGACGCGAGCAUGACGUUGCAGAGGAACACGUCCCGGCGGGGUGCCUCGUCGAACGCGGCGUGAGCGAGCUCCGCGCGGCCCGACAUGGCGUACAGCUCGACGAGCGCGGUGCGCACGAAGAGGUCGGCGGCGGCGAAGCCGGACCUGACCCCGCGCGCGUGGAGCGAGGCGCCGAGAGGCCGGGUCGCGGCGGAGGACGAGGCGAGCGCGUCGGAGGGCGAGGGAGAGGGAGAAGGAGUUGGCGAGGAGGCGGGGCGCGCACGGGAGGAGCCCGCGGAGGACAAGCAGGGCCUGCAGCGGGAGCGAGGCGCGGAGGUAGGCGCGCAUGA